rnacentral:tRNA from 1 species
GGGGGAUUAAGUCAAAGGUAGACUAGGCAACUUAUAAUUGCUCAAUAUUGGUUCGAUUCCAUUAUCCCCAACCA